CGUGAUGACCACAUUCCUUUUGUCAAAAUAAAGCAGAACACCUAGGAGUGUCAAGAAUAUGGAAAUAGAAGAUCUCUUCAUGGGAGCAACUACAAAACUGCACUGAAAAACAUAUACGCAAAUUUUCAAUCAUUCUAGAAUGAACCAGUGUUAUGGUUUAUACAUUGUAUCGACUUGGGAGUCUAGAAGCUUAACUCAGCGACUCAGCAGUGUAGAGGACUAGCCGUUACCAUUCUAUGAUGUUGUUCAUUGUGUCAAUGUGAGAAGAUCAGAAGCCUAAUUGAUUCAGCAGGGGCCAGGUUCCCCCGUUCAUAACAUUCUCAGACUGUGCAAGAGGAGGGCACAGAUGGUGUGAAUGCUGUGCCCACCCCAGAGGAGCAGCCUCCACACAAUAAAGGCAAAUGAAGAGGGGACCAAUUGCUAGUUCUUCGGGGGAGCUCUAUUCUGUCUUCAGUUUGGACGUGAUCUCUUGGCUUCGGGCACAGACUGUUUGGCUUCAGCCUGGGACUCUUCAGCCUUCCAUUGUAGGUUCUUCAGGGUUCCAUCAUAGACCCAUCAGCCUCCUGAUACAGACUUGCAUGGGACACUGCAGUAAACUCCAGCCCUUGGGUGGACCCUUCGGCCAUCAGUGUGCAGACACCCUCUGCACGCUUCCUCAUCCAACUCUGUGGCUGACCAUCGUGCUGAAGAUGACAUGCUACCACGGCAAGACUACACAAUGAGCCAAUGUAUUCCCUUCAACUUUUUGUGCUGAUACUGUUUUUUAGUCUUUAAUUUAACUUAUUUAUUUUUAUAAAGUAUAAAAUUAAAUGACUAUAAAACUAUGUAUAAAAUAUACCACUGAGAUAGCUUUCCUGGAGACAAAUUAGGAAAUGAUUUUAGGAAUAACCUGUGCAUUUAUCAAAACAUAUUUUAGGGCCGGGGUUUUAGCUCAGUGACAUAAGCACCUGCUUGGCAAGUACAAGGUCGUGAGUUUAAUCCCUGAUACCAAAAGAAAAAAAAAUACUUUAGUUUUUAAGCAAGUGAUAGGCUGUGUUUUACAAUUUGUUCUAUGUGCUAUUUUUUCUACAUGCUAUUUUUGUAUUCAGAAAUACAAAAUGAAUAUUGCUCCAUAUCAAUGCAAAAAGAGAUAACACAUUCAUAUAACUGGUUGUAUAAAACUGUAUUGGGUGGAUGGAUGUAACAGGUACUUUAUUUAGCCAGUUUUUCAUUGAUGAACAUUGAAGGUUGUUUCUGAACUUUUACAAAACAAAACUAUUGUGACUCAUAUGAAUAUUGUAUAUGCAAGUAGUUAAUUAAAGGAGCUGUGAG